rnacentral:rRNA from 1 species
GUUAUAGGGUCAAGUGACUAAGUGCAUGUGGUGGAUGCCUUGGCGAUUACAGGCGAUGAAGGACGUGAUAGCCUGCGAAAAGCUUCGGGGAGCUGGCAAAUUAGCUUUGAUCCGGAGAUAUCCGAAUGGGGAAACCCACCCUUAGGGGUAUCGCAUGCUGAAUACAUAGGCAUGCGAGGCGAACCGAGUGAACUGAAACAUCUAAGUAACUCGAGGAAAAGACUCCUCCAAGGCUAAAUACUCGUAAUCGACCGAUAGUGAACAAGUACCGUGAGGGAAAGGCGAAAAGAACCCCGGGAGGGGAGUGAAAUAGAUCCUGAAACCGCAUGCAUACAAAAAGUCGGAGCCGCAAGGUGACGGCGUACCUUUUGUAUAAUGGGUCAGCGACUUACAUUCAGUGGCGAGGUUAACCGAAUAGGGAAGCCGAAGAGAAAUCGAGUCCGAAUAGGGCGUCUAGUCGCUGGGUGUAGACCCGAAACCAAGUGAUCUAUCCAUGGCCAGGAUGAAGGUGCGGUAACACGCACUGGAGGUCCGAACCGACUAAUGUUGCAAAAUUAGCGGAUGAGCUGUGGAUAGGGGUGAAAGGCUAAACAAACUUGGAAAUAGCUGGUUCUCUCCGAAAACUAUUUAGGUAGUGCCUCAAGUAUUACCAUCGGGGGUAGAGCACUGUUUAGGCUAGGGGGUCAUGGCGACUUACCAAACCUAUGCAAACUCCGAAUACCGAUGAGUACAGCUUGGGAGACAGUGCACCGGGUGCUAACGUCCGGACACAAGAGGGAAACAACCCAGACCGCCAGCUAAGGUCCCUAAAAUUGGCUAAGUGGGAAACGAAGUGGGAA